rnacentral:rRNA from 1 species
UACGUAGGGUGCGAGCGUUAAUCGGAAUUACUGGGCGUAAAGCGUGCGCAGGCGGUUCGCUGUGUCCUGUGUGAAAGCCCCGGGCUUAACCUGGGAAUGGCAUUGGAAACUGGCGGACUCGAGUGUGGCAGAGGGGGGUGGAAUUCCGCGUGUAGCAGUGAAAUGCGUAGAGAUGCGGAGGAACACCGAUGGCGAAGGCAGCCCCCUGGGCUAACACUGACGCUCAGGCACGAAAGCGUGGGGAGCAAACAGG